rnacentral:rRNA from 1 species
CCUACGGGUGACAACAGUGAGGAAUAUUGGUCAAUGGACGGAAGUCUGAACCAGCCAUGCCGCGUGCAGGAAGACGGCCCUAUGAGUUGUAAACUGCUUUUGUACAAGGGUAAACCUGAAUACGUGUAUUCAGCUGAAAGUACUGUACGAAUAAGGAUCGGCUAACUCCGUGCCAGCAGCCGCGGUAAUACGGAGGAUCCAAGCGUUAUCCGGAUUUAUUGGGUUUAAAGGGUGCGUAGGCGGAUUGAUAAGUUAGAGGUGAAAUGUCCGAGCUUAACUCGGGAACUGCAGUUGAUACUGUUAGUCUGGAGAGUAGGUGCGGUAGGCGGAAUGUAUGGUGUAGCGGUGAAAUGCUUAGAGAUCAGACAGAACACCGAUUGCGAAGGCAGCUUACCAAUCUAUAUCUGACGUUGAGGCACGAAAGCGUGGGGAGCAAACAGGAUUAGAUACCCGGGUAGUC